CUGAAGUUGAUUGCAUGCACCGGAUGUUUGGGGUGCGGCAGCCGAGAUCGCAAGGGUCCCCAGCAGCAGGACCCCCGUGAUCAGACAUCUUAUCCCUAUCAUUCAGAAGCGGGACAUGUGGGGGCCAUUCCAGGGAGGCAGGACAUGACCCCAACAACGGGAAUGUCCCACCAGAACCGGGACGAUUGGGAGGCACCACAGAAAGUAUGUACAAGCGCAGAGACCCCUGUCAAAGGCACAUAGGCAGAUAUAGUGGCCCAGAGAUACAGAGUGGAGUGCAGACGGACUCGGCUCUCUUUAUGGUGCAUUGCGUUUUACAUUUCCUCAGUCUGCUGCACACUUAUUAGCUCCGGGCUGAGCGCACAGACAGAUAUUGAGUUGGCUUAGCCGGAUUCUUCGGAAUAAAGUUUAUACGAGUUAUCGAGGAUUUGGAUAAAGGGAGGAAUUUAUCGAAAUCUGUACAGAGGAACAAUGGAGCGGUUGCCCAUAGC